GUGCUCGCUUCGCCAGCACAUGUACUAAAAUUGGAACGAAACAGAGGUUAGCAUGGCCCUGUGCAAGGAUGACAUGCAAAUUCGUGAAGCGUUCCAUAUUAAA
rfam:Pteropus alecto contig104521, whole genome shotgun sequence.